AGAUUUUAUUUACUUGAGAGAGAGUACAUGUGGGGAAGGGCAGAGGGCGAGGGAGAGAGAGAAUCUUAAAGAGGCUCCAAGCCCAGCCUCUAGCCCAAGGGGAGAGGGCACCAGAUCUGAGCCUAGGUUGGGUCUGAUGCUUAAUUGACUGAACCACUUAGGCGCCCCAAUAUUUUAUUAUUUUUUUAAGCAAUCUCUUCACCUAAGCUGGGACCAAACCUACAAUUUCAAGAUCAAGAGUUGGAAGCUCUGCUGAUUGAGCCAGCCAGGCACUCCAGCCUAAAAACCCUUUGGCUUAGAUAGAACCUUGUGAUCUCCAGGCUGAAACUCAACUUCUGGCAAACAUCACUGCCCCUCAAAUUUCUCCGGCGCUGCUCAAGGAUCCUUGACCCUUUAAAGAAAUAGCAUUUCCCUCUAUUUCUCUACCUCUGUACCCUCGACUUGCCCUGAGUUAUUUCUUACUUGAACUCUCUGGAAAACAGUGUUGAACAGCUCUAUAUCUGCACAAAAUGGGGGUUUCCAUCCCAGCAUCAAUUUCAGGACAAUUGACUGAGGACAAAAGAGAUAAGGGACACCCCCCUUCCUCCUCAUCCUAUUAUUGGCCCACCUGCCCUCCAGGUGUGGGUGCUUUCCUUGCUCCAGAUUGCUGCCUCCAAACUACACCUCCUCCAGUCCCCAGAGGACCCAUUCCCCACCUGGCCUCUCAACUUGGUGACAUCGUCCCAUGAACUUCUGCACUCCCAACCAGCCGCCCAUUCCCUUUGUCACACCCUGGACUUCAUCAUCUGAAGCAGCCACUCUUUGAAAAUCCCUCAGUCAGCCUCCUGACUCAGCCCCUAUCUUCUAACCUUGCAGCCAUCACCCUGGCUAGCUCCUUACCCCCAUGUCUUAGGCUCCCGGUACCUCCAGGUCAAUUCCCUUUUUCCAACAUGUCAGCCCCUCCUCUCCACUUUCAGCUGUAUGGCCCUUCAUUUCAAUAACUGUCUUGACAAUAUCCCGAACUCCCUCGCCCC